GGGGACGAAUUGCUUCGACAGUUAGCGGCUCUUUAACACGGCAGGCCGACUUUGAUAAACAGUCGUUAAACAUUUAUCAAAUUCAUAACUGCUGAUGAACAAUCAGAGUUAGCUAAAUGGGCGCCUAAGUGGCAAGAGGCAUUUGCCGCAAGGCAGCUUCAAGUAGCUUACGCCUAAAUAGCCAUCUCCAGGUUAGUUUUCUCGGUGACGUCCUGGAGGUGUAAACCCAGCCGGGAUGCAGUUAUUUAGGUUUGACGUUCCUUAAUAACAAAGACUAAUACGUCUUGAUCCCGCCGUUCUUGUCAAUUCGGAUUAGGCGGGAUGACAAACAUAGAUUGACUAAGCCUGUAGAAGUGUUAAAAGUUGCUUUCUGGACGAGAGUUCAUCACUCUCCGUCUCCACAC
rnacentral:tmRNA from 1 species